AAUGUCCUAUGUGAUUCGAUAAAUGACAACCCAGUAGUCCUUGGCCAAGGCAAAAUGAAAUUAGAAAAAAGUUUCUAAUUUGCAUUAUUUGGAGUUGUGCAUUUAAGAGUCAAAAUACAUUUAAUUAAAUAAAAUAAGACUUGACAGUAAUUUCAUGUCUUAUAUUUAAUUGGGACAUUGUAUGGUGGAAGGAUUGAAUUGUACGGUAACUAUUAACUCAAAG
rnacentral:lncRNA from 1 species